ensembl:lncRNA
GUCGUCUCGAUUAGCCUUAAUAUCAGGGAGUAACAAGAGCCUGUCUAAAUACUGACCCCUGACCUCCCCACCCUCCAAUAAAUACUCUGCUAAUUAUGACCCUGGAUCACUCACCAUCAUUAGAAAUAUUUCUAUUGGAGAGGACAGAGGAGGGAGAGAGGACAGAGGAGGGAGAGAGGACAGAGGAGGGAGAGAGGACAGAGGAGAGAGAAAGUACAGAAUAGGGAGAGAGGACAGUAAAGGGAGAGAGGACAGAGGAGGAGAGAGGAUAUAGGUGGGAGAGAGGACAGAGGUGGAGAGAGGACAGAGGAGGGAGAGAGGACAGAGGAGGGAGAGAGGACAGAGGAGGGAGAGAGGACAGAGGAGGGAGAGAGGACAGAGGAGGGAGAGAGGACAGAGGAGGAGAGAGGACAGAGGAGGAAGAGAGGACAGAGGAGGGAGAGAGGACAGAGGAGGGAGAGAGGACAGAGGAGGGAGAGAGGACAGAGGAGGGAGAGAGGACAGAUGAGGAGAGACGACAGAGGAGGGAGAGAGGACAGAAGUGGAGAGGACAGAGGAGGGAGAGAGGACAGAGGAGGGAGAGAGGACAGAGGUGGAGAGAGGACAGAGAGAGAGAGAGAGAGCGAGAGGGAGAGAGGACAGGUGGAGAGAAAAAGAG